AAUCAACGCUGGCGGCGUGCCUAACACAUGCAAGUCGAACGAGAAAGCCUGUAGCAAUACAGGUGAGUACAGUGGCGACCGGGUGAGUAACACGUGGAUAACCUGCCACCGAGUGGGGAAUAACCCUGGGGAAACCGGGGCUAAUACCGCAUAACACCCAGCGGCUUCGGCUGCGGGGUUGAAACCUGGCAACGGGGCUUGGUGAGGGGGUCCCGCGGCCGAUUAGCUAGUUGGUGAGGUAACGCCCACCAAGGCGAUGAUCGGUAGCCGGCCUGAGAGGGCGGACGGCCACACUGGAACUGCAACACGGUCCAGACUCCUACGGGAGGCAGCAGUGGGGAAUUUUGCGCAAUGGGGGAACCCUGACGCAGCAACGCCGCGUGGACGAUGAAG
rnacentral:rRNA from 1 species